AGGCAAAGCAGCAGAAGUGGACUGAGAACCAACUCGUGUUUUCCAGAGUAAGAGGGACUUGCCACAGUACCUGCAACACUGAGAGUGAGGGUCAUAUGCCUCCCAGUUUGGAGAACUGGAGGAUGAGGACCCCAGGACAUGCUGAAGAGUAAGUUUGCUCAGCAUCAGAUACCUGAAGAUGACUUGUAUGCAAACUGGAUUGAAGGAGGACUUUUUGGCCUCUGUUUCCAAUUCCAGUAUAUGUUCAGGCUGCCUCUGCUGCAAAAGUGUCACCUGCUUUUGCACCAUGUGAAACACUGAAUUGAUCAAGAGACUGUCUUCCACUGCAAGGUAAGCCUUCUCCUCUAGUAAGUAAGUUCACAGUACAGAUGUGUGGGAAUAUUUAUAUCAUAAACCCAUGAUUUUAACAGGUUAUUAGCAAAGCACCAGCAGGGGGCCCGAAAUACAAAGACUAAUCUGGGAUUUGUUCAGGAAACUCAAAUAAUUUUUCAGAGCGUAACUGAUCAAACUUCGUACUUAAAAUAAAAACCUCCACCCCAAAGUCCUCAUUCUGCCUGCUUGAUAUUAAAUGGUAAAACACUGCAGAAGUGAAAAUAUCCUGGAGCCCUCUAUCAUCUUCAUUAUCUUCACUGGUGAAGUGACUGAGUGAGUGCAGAGGUGUGAAAUUCCAGCAGAGAAGAACAUGCUGUUUUAAGAGGAAGUGCUGACAUGCAGGCUACAAUUAGACAAAAAAUGACUGCUGACAUUUAAAAAUCAUUACAGAGAGGAAAUUGUGAGUGUAAUUAUGUCAUCAUUGACACUGCUCAAGUGUGCUGAUGCAUUUUUGCUGAUCAAAAUCAAGUGUUUAUAUUUGUAAACAGAAUGCACUUAGCAACUCUAUCAGUGG